GGCCGAGCGCUCUCGGUGAUCAGCCCUGAGGGGCUCCAGCCGCGGGCCCGGCGCGGGGAGGCUCUUCCUCACACGGAACUGACGGGGGAAGGAAAAAAAGAAAAACCCGAAAGUUUCGUUUGGUUUUGUUUUUUUUUCGAGUUCGCGAGGUGUGGGGACAGGAAGCGCGGGCGGCGGGGAGGCUCAGCCCGGUCCCCGCCGUGGGAAGCGAGAAGGAGCCGGGGCGGCAGCGGAGCCGCCUCGCCGUGGCCACAACAAACCGGCCCCGACGCCUUUGUUUGCAGGCAUGUGUUCGGAGAGAAACACGGCAGCACCGCCGAACGGGGCCGGGAGAGAGAGCGUGCAUGAAAAAAAUAAUAUUCCCCCUUCACCAUUCGAGUUUGGGAGCUGGAAGACACUAGAUGAUACUGUCAAAAGAAUGUUUUUAAAGGAGAGUAAACUGCGUCAAUGACAGUUUGUAUUUGAACACGCUGUAUGACUUGUCAAUAAGGCCUGCCCUUUAGAUAAAGCAAAGGAAGACUCAAACCGUUCUUAACUGCCAAAUAAUUUUGAUGAAAACAAGGGAACAAGCUGGUGCACCCCAUAGCUCAAACAGUUUCCAUGCUGAUUUUUUUGGCUCAGAAGUCAACCACUGCACAGACAAGUGUAGGAUGCUUGCACAGCCCUUGAUUAAAUCCGAUUCCCACUCCCCCAAAGCUGCCCAUUCCCAGUUCCCUGUGGCUGAAGAGUUGCCUAUUGUGAAUGUGUCACUGCAGCAGCCGCCAGCUGGCACGUCAGCAUUUCCAUUGCAAGCCUAUUUUUAAAGGUCUGGAACUCAACCAUGGAAGACAAAUGUUUUGGAGUGUGUUCCAGGAGUGUUUGUCCUUCAGAAAAUAAAAAUCAGCUUAGUGACACCGGACCCGAACCAUAGCAAGGACAGCAGAGCUUUCCCCUGGAGAGACAAGCAGUGGAGAAUGUGUGGAUAGUGCCUCGUUUAGCAAGAGCUCAGGAAGGAAAGGCAAAAAGCAAAGUUUGAGGAACCUGCCCUUGCUUGCUCCAUUCUGCUUUUACGACUCAGAACUUGCUUCGUUAUAGUUCUUCAAACCUGAUUUAUCCUUGAAGCUGAAGCCAAGCCUGAAAAAUCCAACUGGAAUUCAGAGCGAAUUUUGCCUCAGAGCGCAGAAUAAACCACCAUGAUGUUCCAAUAUGCAAAUGUAUCAACAAUGAUGAAUACUUAAGGGAUUGAUUGCAUCCAAAAUCAUCGUGAUCUCCAUCUUCUGGGUAGUUCUUGUGACAGCAGAAGGUGUUACUUCUGCAGUGAGAGAGAGCCAAAGAUGUUGCCAGUUCCUAACUUUAGCUAGGAGCCCACAUACCAUGCCUCAAACCAGUAUCCUAAUCAUCCCAGGUGAAAAUUCUUCCCAUUUUGGAAGAUUAUAAUUAACUUCCUACUGAGCCAUGCUCAGAAAAAUGCCUCAACCUGAAAGAUUAAAUAGGAACUUAGUAUAUGUCAGAAAUAAUUCAGCAGUAGCUGUUUGUGUCUUGCAAUAUAAGAUACUGAUUCAAAAUUAUAUAUUUAAAAGUUGUUUUCUCCUUAUUGUGUAACAAAAGGACUUGACUGGAUGAGUAAUAGCUUUACUGGAGCAGAGAGGAGGUCAUGAAUGACACUUCAGAGAUAUCAGUUUGGCUCUUCAGAUAAUUGCUGAAUUAAUCUGAGGUGAUAUUAUCAGUGAGUGCUGAAAGGGUCCCCAUUGCUGGAGGGACAGAGAUCCACACCCUUCCAGUGCCCUGCUGCUCUGGGGCUCCUGGGGGUCACCACAACUCCGCUGAUAUUUCUUCUCCACCACAAUCAAGGUUAUUUUCCAGCUGUCUUGACUUUACUCCGUUCCAAUUGGGGCACAACUUGACUCAUCAGUUCUUUAUUUGGAACACACAUCACAUUUCUGCACUUCAUCAGUUCUUCUCCCAGUGAGGUCACUCGUUUGUGGCCAUUCAAUACUUCCUGCAAGUGCCCAGCUCUCAGUUUCACCUUUUCCCACUGUCCUGAGCCUGGAGCCACUCUUCAGCCAAGGAUGCUCUUUGUAGCCCUGUGACUUUGGGUUUCAGCAGGACACAAGAUGAGCACAUUCUGGAAUACAUUUCAGAAUCAGUCUCUUAAGCCCAACUUCUUUUCCCAUUAACUCUGGUGACAACAUUCAUAAUAAUUUCAAUGGGAGCAUGAUAAUUCUGUAAGUAAUUGCUAUCAGGAAUUUAAUUUAAACCUCAUUUGACUGACAUUUCUUGUUUGCAAGAUAUCUAUUUUAGGAACAAUGUCUUGCUAGUAUAUCUCUCUUCAUCUUAGUCAUGACUGAUAACAGAAUAAUCAUCUCAGCCACUUUCCUUUUCUUUUCCUGCAUAAUGGCUUUACUGCAUUUUUACAUAGCAAACACACAAGAAUAGAAACAAUUAGACAAAUAACAGUAUUACAUGGAGACGAGCAGGUAAGUGACUAGAACUCACUUGAAACUCUUUACUAGGCUGAGAAGCCUCUCAAGCCACAAUGGGGUUGUUAAAAAGACUAAGGAACGAUGCAAGUUGCCUCUAACUCAUGUUUCCCUCAGCUAGGCUUACACAGGUGUAUUAAAUACAGAAUGUCAACGUGCCACAGCUCCAACCUGCUCCUGAUUUCACUGCCAGAAAGACAUUGAGGGAGUCCAGGGAAGGGAGUGGAGCUGGGAAGGGGCUGGAGAAUUCCUGAGG